AACGUAUUACAUAAAACGAAAAUAAAAAAACUCGUAAAAUCUAUAUCAUAAGAAAAUAGGAAAUAAAAUCAACAUAGAUGUCAUACUUCCACAUACGUUUGUUGAAUUACCCAAGCACGUCAUCUUAAAAUAGUGGAGGCGGAUCACGGCCCAGAAUCUCAAAUACUAAAUCACGCAUGAAUUCUUCAUCAGUCAAACUCAUAAAUACUUUAGCCAGACUCUCAUCCGAUCGAAAAAUUUUCAUUACUUGCAUUAUGUCACUCUUUUCUAUACUCAUGCCUUGUAAUUUUUCUAGAACCAGCUGCCAAUUGAUGUGGUUUAGUGUAUCUAAUGUUGCUUGAGUCUCCAUAGCGUUAGCAAUUUUUUUAGAUGAUUCGGCAAUGCUUGAUAGGGCAACGAGACUCUCAUCAUUAGGUUGAGUACGUCGACGGCGAACUUUGUUAUUUCCUCCUUCAGCGUUACGCUUAGGAGCGCGAAUGGGACUUGGUUCGGUAUCCUCAUUUUGACCAUCAACUUCAUGCACAU
rnacentral:lncRNA from 1 species